rnacentral:rRNA from 1 species
UACGGAGGGGGCUAGCGUUAUUCGGAAUUAUUGGGCGUAAAGAGCGUGUAGGCGGCCAUGCAGGUCAGCUGUGAAAACUCGAGGCUCAACCUCGAGACGUCGGUUGAAACCGUAUGGCUAGAGUCCGGAAGAGGAGAGUGGAAUUCCCGGUGUAGCGGUGAAAUGCGCAGAUAUCGGGAAGAACACCUAUGGCGAAGGCAGCUCUCUGGGACGGUACUGACGCUGAGACGCGAAAGCGUGGGGAGCAAACAGG